rnacentral:lncRNA from 1 species
GAUCUGAUCAGACGGAUGGACGCCAGCCUGCGCUCGAUGGCGUCGAGGGCUAGAGUUGCUCCGGCAACCUCUGCCUGCUCGACAGUCGUGUCCAGCGCAGCGGAUGAGGUCGAGGUUGGAGGCACCGGGCUGGUGGUCGGGAGCUGACUGUGCGCGGGGAAGACGAUGUGCAGCGCCGCUCUGCGGCGCGAAACCCUGGGCGGCGCUUGUUUCUCGCCAAACCCUAAAUUCAUACGCGGGUCGAUGGCGGGUCAGACGGGCAGGGCGCGGGUCGACGGGUCCUAAGCGCGGAUCUGGGCCAGAGAAGGUUUGGGCUGCGGUUUUGGGCUUGUUUGCUGGACCUUG